rnacentral:pre_miRNA from 1 species
AGCCUUCUGUAUCCGUGCUGAGAUUUCGUCACACACCAGACCACAAGGGCUGAUGAGACUUC